UGCGUAGGCGGCUCUGUAAGUAUGGUGUGAAAUCUCCCGGCUUAACUGGGAGGGUGCGCUAUAGACUGCGGGGCUCGAGUGUGGGAGAGGAAAGUGGAAUUCCUGGUGUAGCGGUGAAAUGCGUAGAUAUCAGGAGGAACACCGGUGGUGUAAACGGCUUUCUGGACCAUAACUGACGCUGAGGCACGAAAGCGUGGGUAGCAAACAGGAUUAGAUACCCUGGUAGUCCACGCCCUAAACGAUGCAUAUUUGGUGUGGGUCAUUCAGUUGAUCCGUGCCGGAGCUAACGCGUUAAAUAUGCCGCCUGGGGAGUACAGUCGCAAGGCUGAA
rnacentral:rRNA from 1 species